rnacentral:rRNA from 1 species
UACGGAGGGGGCAAGCGUUGUUCGGAAUUACUGGGCGUAAAGGGCUCGUAGGCGGCCAACUAAGUCAGACGUGAAAUCCCUCGGCUUAACCGGGGAACUGCAUCUGAUACUGGAUGGCUUGAGUUCGGGAGAGGGAUGCGGAAUUCCAGGUGUAGCGGUGAAAUGCGUAGAUAUCUGGAGGAACACCGGGUGGCGAAGGCGGCAUCCUGGACCGACACUGACGCUGAGGAGCGAAAGCCAGGGGAGCAAACGGG